rnacentral:rRNA from 1 species
UACGUAGGGUCCGAGCGUUGUCCGGAAUUACUGGGCGUAAAGAGUUCGUAGGCGGUUUGUCGCGUCGUUUGUGAAAACCCGGGGCUCAACUUCGGGCUUGCAGGCGAUACGGGCAGACUUGAGUGUUUCAGGGGAGACUGGAAUUCCUGGUGUAGCGGUGGAAUGCGCAGACUAUCAAGAGGAACACCGGUGGCGAAGGCGGGUCUCUGGGCAGUAACUGACGCUGAGGAGCGAAAGCGUGGGGGAGCGAACAGG